CGGAGUGUAGCGCAGUUGGUAGCGCGCCUGCUUUGGGAGCAGGAUGUCGGGAGUUCGAGUCUCCCCACUCCGA
rnacentral:tRNA from 2 species